rnacentral:rRNA from 1 species
AGACAGCAGUAGCCACGGUAAUACGGAGGGUGCAAGCGUUAAUCGGAAUUACUGGGCGUAAAGCGUGCGUAGGCGGUUCGUUAAGUCUGUUGUGAAAGCCCCGGGCUCAACCUGGGAAUGGCAAUGGAUACUGGCGAGCUAGAGUGUGUCAGAGGAUGGUGGAAUUCCCGGUGUAGCGGUGAAAUGCGUAGAGAUCGGGAGGAACAUCAGUGGCGAAGGCGGCCAUCUGGGACAACACUGACGCUGAGGCACGAAAGCGUGGGGAGCAAACAGGAUUAGAUACCCCUGUAGUCCCUGUCUCUUAUAC